rnacentral:rRNA from 1 species
GACGAACGCUGGCGGCGUGCUUAACACAUGCAAGUCGAACGGAAAGGCCCGGUUUUUGUGGGGUGCUCGAGUGGCGCACGGGUGGGUAACACGUGUGUAACCUGCACUUGAUUUCGGGAUAUCUUUUGGAAACUGGGGCUAAUACCGGUUAUUAGCUCUUGCUGCUCGGGGGGGGUUGGAAAGUUUGGGCGGUUGGGGUUGGACUGGGUGGUUCGUGGCUUGUUUGUGGGGUUGUGGCUUACAAAGGCUGUGAGGGGUAGCCUGCCUGGGAGGGUGUCCGGCGACAUUGGGCCUGAGAUACGGCCCAGACUGCUACGGGAGGCAGCAGUGGUGAGUGUUGCACAAUGGCCGGGAGCCUGAGGCGGCAACGCCGCGUUCGGGAAUACAUCCUUCGGGUUAUAAACCGCUUUCUACUUUGACGAAGCGGGAGUGACGGUAAUGGGUGAAGAAGCACCGGCUAACUACGUG